rnacentral:tRNA from 1 species
CAUAAGACUUGUGCUACUCACAACACAUCU